rnacentral:tRNA from 1 species
GGAGGUGUCGCAUAGUGGUCAAUUGCACACGCCUGGAAAGCGUGAUCCUUUUGGAUCCAAGGGUUCGAAUCCCUUCACCUCCGCAA